rnacentral:sRNA from 1 species
AUGUCCCACGCGUACACCGCAGUUCCUUCGCGCCGUUCGCAUCCACCUGAGCACUGCUCACGCCGUUUUUCAGCG